rnacentral:rRNA from 1 species
UAGUCGUCUUUAUNAAGGGCNGCNAANGANAGGGGGUACUGCUGAAAGUNGCUUUUAUUAGGUAGAAGNAGAUGAAGUUGACUUUUUAGUAAGAAGGCUAAAAUAAUUCUUAAAGACGAGAAGACCCUAUAAAACUUUAUAUUUAAUUUUCUCUUAGGUGAGAGAGUAGGUAUUUUACUGGGGCGGUAGAAAAAAUGAAUCUUUUUCUAAAUCUAAAGACUUUAAAUCUUUAUAUCUAAAAUUUUUAAAGGAAGAAUAAGUUACUUUAGGGAUAACAGCUUAAUUCAUUUAGAAAGUUCUAAUUGACAAAUGUGUUUGUGACCUCGAUGUUGAAUUAAAAGUCCUUUUUAGUGCAAAAGCUU